rnacentral:rRNA from 1 species
AUUGAACGCUGGCGGCAUGCUUUACACAUGCAAGUCGAACGGUAACAGGUUAAGCUGACGAGUGGCGAACGGGUGAGUAAUGCAUCGGAACGUGCCCGGUCGUGGGGGAUAACGCAGCGAAAGCUGCGCUAAUACCGCAUACGAUCUGAGGAUGAAAGCGGGGGACCGUAAGGCCUCGCGCGAUCGGAGCGGCCGAUGUCAGAUUAGGUAGUUGGUGGGGUAAAGGCUCACCAAGCCGACGAUCUGUAGCUGGUCUGAGAGGACGACUAGCCACACUGGGACUGAGACACGGCCCAGACUCCUACGGGAGGCAGCAGUGGGGAAUUUUGGACAAUGGGCGCAAGCCUGAUCCAGCAGUGCCGCGUGCAGGAAGAAGGCCUUCGGGUUGUAAACUGCUUUUGUACGGAGCGAAAAGGCUCUCUCUAAUACAGGGGGCUCAUGACGGUACCGUAAGAAUAAGCACCGGCUAACUACGUGCCAGCCGCCGCGGUAA